CUCACCUUUUAAAAAUUCACCCUAAAAUUCCACAUUUUUGCUAUAAAUGAGUAACCCUUGAAUCCACACAAAGAUGAACCUCAUGUGUGUCUCUCAUAAACUUCACCACACCACACUUUGUGAACCCUUUUCUUUCUCUAUCUCUUAAUUAUAUCUUCUAUUUAUUAUUAUUAUUAUUAUUAUUUUUUAAUUUUGUUGUUGUUCUUCAUUCUACAACCUCAAAGCUAAUAAGGUUCUCUUAGCUAGUGGCAAUGAAUUAAAAGGGUGCAUGCUGAGCAAGAUGGAGAAGCAGGGCACGUGCAAUACUAACUCAUGAAGAGAUCAUGAAUAAUAUGAGUGUGAAGCAAAGAAGACAAUAUCUUACAUUUUUUUUUUCUAUUUCACCAACCUAAAAAUAUUUUGUAAUAUUCAUUCUUUUCUAUUUCACAAUAUCUACUACUUUAUAACUUUGGCAUAUAUAAUAUAUAUUCAUAAUAAUAGGUAUAUAUUAGAUUAUUAUUAAUAUGCUAAAUUUCUCAAAGCCUUAAUUAUUAGGUUAAAUAUUAUGAAAAGGAGUAAAUUAAAUAGUUUUGUUAUGAGUUAGUUCUUCAUGUGCCCCUCUUCCCCAUCAUGACCUGCUGCACCUCUUAGCAUUUGGAAAUGCAAAAAGAUGGAGGCUGAUUUUUUAGUAUUUGUGAUGCUAGCUUCACUUUUUUGAAGGGGUUAAAAAUUAUUGCAGUGAAAUCUUAUUAAUGGGGGGAGAAAGAUAUCAAGAAAUGAAGACUUUGAAUUACAAGACAAAGUGUGAACUAGAAGGUAUUUUGUCUUUUAUCUAGCAUCAUAUAGCAUGUACUAUUUAAGGAAAAAUUAAAAAUGAAAAUUUUUAAAUUCUUUAAUAAUGUAUUGAAGUUUUUUAUUUUUUAUUUUUUAUUUUUUUUCUUCCGCUCCUUAAGAGAUGAUUGUAGAAUAUUUAUUAGCCAAACCCUAAUAUUUAUAAUAUCACUAUACUUAUUGCUGAUUUCCACUAUUUCACAUAUAUGCAUUAUAU